UGGGGAAUCUUGCACAAUGGGGGAAACCCUGAUGCAGCGACACCGCGUGAGCGAUGAAGGUUUUCGAAUCGUAAAGCUCUGUCCUAUGGGAAGAUAAUGACGGUACCAUGGGAGGAAGCCCCGGCUAACUACGUGCCAGCAGCCGCGGUAAUACGUAGGGGGCGAGCGUUGUCCGGAAUUACUGGGCGUAAAGGGUUCGCAGGCGGCAUGGCAAGUCCGAUGUAAAAGGCGAAGGCUCAACCUUCGUAAGCAUCGGAAACUGUCAAGCUUGAGUGAAGGAGAGGCAAGUGGAAUUCCUAGUGUAGCGGUGGAAUGCGUAGAUAUUAGGAGGAAUACCGGUGGCGAAGGCGACUUGCUGGACUUCAACUGACGCUGAGGAACGAAAGCGUGGGUAGCAAACAGG
rnacentral:rRNA from 1 species